GGAGCGCUCGGAGAUCGAGCGUACCGGAUUAUUGGGUUUAAGGGAGCGUAGGCGGGCUUUUAAGUCAGCGGUCAAAUGCCACGGCUCAACCGUGGCCAGCCGUUGAAACUGCAAGCCUUGAGUCUGCACAGGGCACAUGGAAUUCGUGGUGUAGCGGUGAAAUGCUUAGAUAUCACGAAGAACUCCGAUCGCGAAGGCAUUGUGCCGGGGCAGCACUGACGCUGAGGCUCGAAAGUGCGGGUAUCAAACAGGAUUAGAUACCCUGGUAGUCCGCACGGUAAACGAUGAAUGCUCGCUAUGGGCGAUACAAUGUCCGUGGCCAAGCGAAAGCGUUAAGCAUUCCACCUGGGGAGUACGCCGGCAACGGUGAAACUCAAAGGAAUUGACGGGGGCCCGCACAAGCGGAGGAACAUGUGGUUUAAUUCGAUGAUACGCGAGGAACCUUACCCGGGCUUGAAUUGCAGGUGCAUGAGUCGGAGACGGCUCUUUCCUUCGGGACUCCUGUGAAGGUGCUGCAUGGUUGUCGUCAGCUCGUGCCGUGAGGUGUCGGCUUAAGUGCCAUAACGAGCGCAACCCUUCUCCCCAGUUGCCAUCGGGUAAUGCCGGGCCCUCUGGGGACACUGCCAUCGUAAGAUGCGAGGAAGGUGGGGAUGACGUCAAAUCAGCACGGCCCUUACGUCCGGGGCUACACACGUGUUACAAUGGGGGGUACAGAGGGCCGCUGUCCGGUGACGGUCGGCCAAUCCCUAAAACUCCUCUCAGUUCGGACUGGAGUCUGCAACCCGACUCCACGAAGCUGGAUUCGCUAGUAAUCGCGCAUCAGCCAUGGCGCGGUGAAUACGUUCCCGGGCCUUGUACACACCGCCCGUCAAGCCAUGAAAGCCGGGGGUGCCUGAAGUCCGUGACCGCGAGGGUCGGCCUAGGGUAAAACUGGUGAUUGGGGCUAAGUCGUAACAAGGUAGCCGUAAGGGCGAAUUCGUUUCUCCAAGG
rnacentral:rRNA from 1 species